rnacentral:rRNA from 1 species
CCUACGGGUGGCAGCAGUGGGGAAUAUUGGGCAAUGGGCGCAAGCCUGACCCAGCAACGCCGCGUGAAGGAAGAAGGCUUUCGGGUUGUAAACUUCUUUUCUCAGGGACGAAGCAAGUGACGGUACCUGAGGAAUAAGCCACGGCUAACUACGUGCCAGCAGCCGCGGAAAUACGUAGGUGGCAAGCGUUAUCCGGAUUUACUGGGUGUAAAGGGCGUGUAGGCGGGAAAGCAAGUCAGAUGUGAAAACCAUGGGCUCAACCUGUGGCCUGCAUUUGAAACUGGUUUUCUUGAGUACAGGAGAGGGAGGCGGAAUUCCUGGUGUAGCGGUGAAAUGCGUAGAUAUUAGGAAGAACACCAGUGGCGAAGGCGGUCUGCUGGACAGCAACUGACGCUGAGGCGCGAAAGCGUGGGGAGCAAACAGGAUUAGAUACCCGGGUAGUC